rnacentral:rRNA from 1 species
CUAGCGUUGCUCGGAAUCACUGGGCGUAAAGCGCACGUAGGCGGACUCUUAAGUCAGAGGUGAAAUCCUGGAGCUCAACUCCAGAACUGCCUUUGAUACUGGGAGUCUCGAGUUCGGGAGAGGUGAGUGGAACUGCGAGUGUAGAGGUGAAAUUCGUAGAUAUUAGGAAGAACACCAGUGGCGAAGGCGGCUCACUGGUCCGGUACUGACGCUGAGGUGCGAAAGCGUGGGGAGCAAACAGG